rnacentral:misc_RNA from 1 species
AUCUUCAUUAUCAAAUGUGCAAAUAGGACAACACCACACCCCAGCCUUAACUAGUUCUUGUUUCGGAUUUCCACAUACAUCACAUACAUUCAUACUAGCUCUGUUAUCAAAUGUGCAAAUGGAACAACGCCAGAUGCCAACCUUGACCAAUUCCUGCUUUGUAUUUGUUUCUGGGACCCUUCCAUUUGUCUCUGCAUAUUCAUGUCCAUCGUCAUAGUCAUAAUUGUAAUCUUCAUAGUCAUAAAAGUCUUCCUCAUAAUCAACCCCAUAAUUUACCUUACGAGGCAUGGUGACACUUCAAGAUAUGCCUCGAAGAUAACCGUGUCAGCAAGUAAACAUUUCAGAUACGAUUCAACCACCAGGAAAUGCUCACCCAAGCAAUACCAUUAAUCCACAAAAACAGUAUUACUGGGACGAACUGCUCUUACUAUCCUGAGCCGGUAAAUAAAUCUACAGUUUCCUGUCUUAG